UCAUCACAUAUCAAAUUCUUCCACUUCUAUUUUCCAUUAGGUAAUCACCUCUUCCAUGACCAUGUUUUGAUAUAUCUACGCUUGCUUAGCAUGUUCAUCACCAUUAAACCUUCCAUUUUCAUAUUUCUUUUUCUUAUUUAAAAUAUUUUCUUCGUCCAUAAAAUUACCCAAAAAUAUUUUUCACUUUUCUUAGCGUUUUAUUUAAUUUUAUAUAAUUUUUAUUUUCGUAUUUUUUUAAUAUUAAUAUUUUAUUUUAAUUAUUUAUUCUAAAUGCUCCAUUUUAAUACACUUUUUUUUAUUGAUUUUAUUUUUAUGACUUAAAAUUAUUGUUAACAUUUGAUUUUUGGGAUGAAGGUUGACCACUGUCUCAUGGUCAACCUGACCUUUUCUUGGAAUUUUAUUUCACAUUUUCAAUUUAUUUGGAAUUUAUUUUUGACCUAGUNUUUAUUGAUUUUAUUUUUAUGACUUAAAAUUAUUGUUAACAUUUGAUUUUUGGGAUGAAGGUUGACCACUGUCUCAUGGUCAACCUGACCUUUUCUUGGAAUUUUAUUUCACAUUUUCAAUUU
rnacentral:lncRNA from 1 species